CCAGACUCCUACGGGAGGCAGCAGUGGGGAAUAUUGGACAAUGGGGGGAACCCUGAUCCAGCGACGCCGCGUGAGUGAAGAAGUAUUUCGGUAUGUAAAGCUCUAUCAGCAGGGAAGAAAGAAAUGACGGUACCUGACUAAGAAGCCCCGGCUAACUACGUGCCAGCAGCCGCGGUAAUACGUAGGGGGCAAGCGUUAUCCGGAUUCACUGGGUGUAAAGGGAGCGUAGACGGCGACGCAAGUCUGGAGUGAAAGCCCGGGGCCCAACCCCGGGACUGCUCUGGAAACUGCGGCGCUGGAGUACGGGAGGGGCAGGCGGAAUUCCUGGUGUAGCGGUGAAAUGCGUAGAUAUCAGGAGGAACACCGGCGGCGAAGGCGGCUUGCUGGACCGUGACUGACGUUGAGGCUCGAGAGCGUGGGGAGCAAACAGGAUUAGAUACCCCAGUAAUA
rnacentral:rRNA from 1 species